UACGGGGGGGGCAAGCGUUGUUCGGAAUUACUGGGCGUAAAGGGCUCGUAGGCGGCCAACUAAGUCGGAUGUGAAAUCCCCAGGCUUAACCUGGGAACUGCAUCCGAUACUGGAUGGCUUGAAUUCGGGAGAGGGAUGCAGAAUUCCAGGUGUAGCGGUGAAAUGCGUAGAUAUCUGGAGGAAUACCGGUGGCGAAGGCGGCAUCCUGGACCGACAUUGACGCUGAGGAGCGAAAGCUAGGGGGGCAAACGGG
rnacentral:rRNA from 1 species